GAUGAACGCUGGCGGCGUGCCUAAUACAUGCAAGUCGAGCGAACAGAUAAGGAGCUUGCUCCUUUGAAGUUAGCGGCGGACGGGUGAGUAACACGUGGGUAACCUACCUAUAAGACUGGGAUAACUUCGGGAAACCGGAGCUAAUACCGGAUAACAUUUAGAACCGCAUGGUUCUAAAGUGAAAGAUGGUUUUGCUAUCACUUAUAGAUGGACCCGCGCCGUAUUAGCUAGUUGGUAAGGUAACGGCUUACCAAGGCGACGAUACGUAGCCGACCUGAGAGGGUGAUCGGCCACACUGGAACUGAGACACGGUCCAGACUCCUACGGGAGGCAGCAGUAGGGAAUCUUCCGCAAUGGCCGAAAGCCUGACGGAGCAACGCCGCGUGAGUGAUGAAGGGUUUCGGCUCGUAAAACUCUGUUAUUAGGGAAGAACAAAUGUGUAAGUAACUGUGCACAUCUUGACGGUACCUAAUCAGAAAGCCACGGCUAACUACGUG
rnacentral:rRNA from 1 species